rnacentral:rRNA from 1 species
CCUACGGGAGGCAGCAGUGAGGAAUAUUGGUCAAUGGACGAGAGUCUGAACCAGCCAAGUAGCGUGAAGGAUGACUGCCCUAUGGGUUGUAAACUUCUUUUAUAUGGGAAUAAAAUGUUCCACGUGUGGGAUUUUGUAUGUACCAUAUGAAUAAGGAUCGGCUAACUCCGUGCCAGCAGCCGCGGUAAUACGGAGGAUCCGAGCGUUAUCCGGAUGUAUUGGGUUUAAAGGGAGCGUAGGUGGAUUGUUAAGUCAGUUGUGAAAGUUUGCGGCUCAACCGUAGAAUUGCAGUUGAAACUGGCAGUCUUGAGUACAGUAGAGGUGGGCGGAAUUCGUGGUGUAGCGGUGAAAUGCUUAGAUAUCACGAAGAACUCCGAUUGCGAAGGCAGCUCACUGGACUGCAACUGACACUGAGGCUCGAAAGUGUGGGUAUCAAACAGGAUUAGAUACCCCGGUAGUC